GCCGGGAUGGCGGAAUCGGUAGACGCGCCUGACUCAAAAUCAGGUGGGGCGACCCGUGCGAGUUCGAGUCUCGCUCCCGGCA
rnacentral:tRNA from 1 species